AGGAAAUGGAGUGGAGAGAGAGAAAGAGGAGGAAGACAUGUAGCAAAUGACUCGAGACGGGGAAUUGAACCCAGGAUAAUCGCGUUAAGGACCACAGCCUCUGCACAUGGUGCUCUACCAACUUUUGUUGAAGCAGAUCGGCAGGCUCCAGAAAUUACAGACAACCAUCAUUCACUGCGAAGAGAGAAGUGUCGAGUCGAAUGAGGAAGACACUCCCUCUCACGCUGCUGCGACUUACAACCAACAUUUAAAUGUCGCUGCAUUGUGGGGAUUUGGUGAAUGAGCGGCAAAGAAGAAGAAGACGAAGCAGAAGAAAAAAAAAAAAACUAGAGCUUGAAUUAAUUUCAGAAAGGGGGCUAGUGGUGGAAACGGAGAAGUUGACGCUCAUUGUUAUGCAUGAAAAGUCUGGCAGGCUGAGGAGACGAGAACGCGGAGAGAACAGAGAGCGGCGUAGAGGAGGAAAGCAAUAGCGGUGUUCUUUAAUGCUGUCAGUUCAGAAAGAGUAAACACUUUCAUAUGCACACCUUAUUUCUCCAUCACGUCGGCCAAAACGCUCUGAUAAAAGAGACAACGUGAGCCUUAUGAACCGGGAGGCAAACAAUCAACAUGGAGGAACGUUGAAGCAGGUGAGAACUGACUGGUAAAAACCGAUCAGAGGAAACCAAAGUUUUCUUUCAACGCUUCCAACUUAUCAGUUUUCAAUUUCUAGACAAUGGGAUAAUAACAUGGUUCCUUUGGUUCCUUUCUGAACCAUAUUGAGUUGUUAUCUGUAUUUUAUGGAACCUGCAGGGUGUUAGUUACAAAUGUACACAAGAUGUUUCCUGAGCCAACAAGGUACGAUUAGAGAGCUCACUUGACUGUGCUAUAAAAUGGUCCUAUGUACUUGGAAAAUGCACAAUACCGCCACUUUGUUCCAGAGAAUCAAAAUGCAGGUUCUGGGAAAAGCAACAAGUAAAUUCUU